UAACAGCUACUGCUUACCGGGACUGUUGCUAAAUAAAUAAAAUAAGUGGUGUGAGCUAGUUGCACAUUAGCAAGGCCAAGAAGGGGGGGGGGGGAGGUCUUGUUGUGAAGUGAAGCUGGUCCAAUUAUCUAGCUUUGAAGAUAGCAUGGAAAAGAACUUGUACAAGGGCCACUUCACAUGUUAAAUUUUCUACUGGUAGGAAGAUACACACACAUUUACAGCAGCACAAAUAUGUCCCCUGGCAACUUCUGAAAGUUUUGCUGGCCAUAAGAAGUUACUCUGCUAAUGCGUAGGAGGAGAAUCUAGUCCACUCCAGGAUUCCAUCCAUCAAUACAAAUUUUAUAUAAACAUAAUACCCAAGGACCGCUGAUGGUUUACUGAAUAAUUGUAAGACUAGUUUUUUACCUCCAGGACAACCAAUUGCAUCAAGCAAACAGCUCAGUCUUUGAGCCACUCUCCGUAGUAUGUGCUCCACUUAAGGUUUUCAUACCCAACAUCAAAUCCUGUGUAUAUGACUCAACAGAUUUUAUCAACAAGCUGAUGACCAUUAAUGGUGAACAGGGAAAAGGAUAUUCUGGAAACCUUUGAAGUGAGAUCUUUAUAGAGCAGCACUCUUCCACAAGCAGCAGCCUUGGAAGCAACGGAGAACAGCCUUGAAAACAGUCAGGAGAAUUGGCAAUGGCGCCCACCUGAGAGGUGCAGGAAUUGGGUUCUGGUGAGUUCCGGCUGAAAAUAAGCCCUGCUUCUAUUCUAUAUAAACAAGCUUGAAAUGAAGCAUAUUGGUUUUCCUGCUAAUCUACACCAGCUUUUGCCAACCUGAUGGCCUCUAGAUGUUUUGCCCUAUGACUUCCAUCAGCCUCAAUCAGCACCAAGUCCCUCAAUUCUCUGGUGGCAAUACAGGCAUUGACACAGAAGCCGAGCAGCUCACCUUUCCUGCAGCACAUCUUCUCUCAAGAGGAGGCCCUUGAUGUCCGAAGGCCAGGGAUGACACUCUGGGUUCAGCAC